GGAACAUCUGCUUGUCCAAAUGGAAGAUUCUAUUGUCAAAAUGCAGGGCAUGCUCCUAAAGUGUUAUUCUACUAGAGUGAAUGAUGGUAUAUGCGGAUGCUGUGGACGUCCAUGACAGUUUAGCUGCUGAAGCUGAACAUGGUGAUGCUUCCAGAAAGGAAAGGUCCUCAGUUCAAGGUGUAGAACAUGUCUAUAUUGAGAUGCAUUUCUUUGGCGUAAUACUAGACAACAUUGACAGUUGAAGUUUUUAGAAUAAAAAAUAUAUUUCACUAACAUUGUAUACAUUUCUUGUUUAAUAUUUGGUGAUGAUAUAAUUUGAUUGUAGUAUAAACUGUCAUGUAAUAUGAUUUUGUAAGCCGAAUAGACUAAAUACUGAAAUGAUAUUUUUGAGUAAUUAAUAAAAAAUUA